rnacentral:rRNA from 1 species
CAUGUAGGCGGAUUGAUAAGUUUGAAGUGAAAUCCUAUAGCUUAACUAUAGAACUGCUUUGAAAACUGUUAAUCUAGAAUGUGGGAGAGGUAGAUGGAAUUUCUGGUGUAGGGGUAAAUCCGUAGAGAUCAGAAGGAAUACCGAUUGCGAAGGCGAUCUACUGGAACAUUAUUGACGCUGAGAUGCGAAAGUGUGGGGAGCAAACA